ensembl:lncRNA
AUGCAGUUUGAACAUUCCGAGCAAGAAAAAGAAUUGAUUAGUUUGGACCGUUCGAGUCUUUGGUUUUUCGAGUCUCUUCGUUCAUCACCUGACCGUCCCAGUAAAUUGACCAAUAUUUCAGUGCUCGGUGUUAACAUGAAGCAUAGCCAUAACAUAAUAAACAUUUUGAAUAAAAUUAAAACUUUUGGAGUGGUACCUUCGUUUGAAGUCUUUACAUGCUGGGACAACUCCAAAGAAGUGCAAGACCCAUCAGAAUUGCAUGUUAGUAUUAAAGGUGGACAUACUUGUAUUUUGAAAAUCGCUCCAAUGGCAGAUGACGAAGAAGAAGAAGUGGUUGUUGCGCCCAAAAUCGAACGCAAACGUGACAAGGAGAGCACAAUGGCGACUAGACGUGGGAGGCCAAUUAAGAUAAAUCCAAAGUAUGGUGCAGCUACAGAUGUCCCUGUGUCUGCUGUUCAGGAAAAUGCAGGAUCCAGUAUGCAGACUGCACAGCAAGUGUGCAGACAAAUCCCUGUGUCUGCUGUUCAGGAAAAUGCAAGAACAGGUAUGCACACUGCACAGCAAGUGUGCAAGUAGGCUACUCUGGUCAAUGCACAUCAUGUUUCAAAAUACUAUAAUAAUUUUAGAUUUGGAUGAGCCGCAUAAAAAAGUGAUACUUUAUACAGCUUUUUGUCAGUUAAAAUUGCAAAUGACCUUGCGUUACAUGUACUUUGAAUAAUACAUUAAAAUAGAGAACUUUUUUUAUUGUAAUUUUUCACAAAAUUAUUGUUUUAAUUUUUUUGAUCAGAUAAAUGCAGCACUGGUGAACAGAAGACAUUUUUCAAAAUCAUAAAUAACUAAUCUUUCCAAAAAUUUGAAAGGUGUUUUAGUAAUAACAAUUCUAUUAAUACUUUGUUAUAUUAUAUGAUUAAAUGAUUAUUUAUAUUUUCACAGAACAUUGUUAUGUACAUUUUAAAGGCACAAUAUGAAUUUUUUUUCGCUAGAGAUCACAUUUUCAAAACAAUAACAGAGGCAAAGCUUGAUGAUGCAAUAACUGAGCAUGAAACUAUGCACGUGCUCAGUCCUUCACUCAGUCUAGUUAAGUAUGUGUAGCAUAUUCAUGCAGAAAUGGCAUCAUUGCUGGGCAACUAUGGCCAGGGAUGAGUCAUUUCUUAAACCCAGAAUAUUUACAAAUCUUUGAGAAUGUUUGAAAUAACACAAGUACACAGCUGUACAAAAUAUAUAAUACUAUGCAAGUGGUUUUUGGAUAUUUUAUUGCAAAAAUGUUACACAUUGUGUCUUUACUCACUUUACUCAUAGUGUCUUAACAGAAAAAAAAAACGCUGCUUGCAGAAGUGCUCAGAGCACUUUUAAUAGUUUUUUUAUUUUUAUUGUGCAAUUUUACAAUGUACAAUAACUCUUUCAUAAAAGUAUUUAUUUAUUCUUUUAUGCCAACAUUUUUAUGAAUGUUUAAAAAUUCUUGUCAUUUUCUUUACUUUUAGAAGUUGCACCCACCAUACAAAUACAAUUCCAAAAUGCAAAGCAAACAAUAGAAGUUCAAAAACAGAAAAUCCUUCACCUGUAGGAUACGGUUAACUCUCUGACAGAGGAGAGAAAUUAUCUUCGUGCAAGACUUGAAGAUGGUAAGUUACCCUCCAGCCAGUCACAUUGUACCCUACAUGAAGCAACUUAAAGGGUUAGUUCACCCAAAAAUGAAAAUUCUGUCAUUAAUGACCCUUAUGUCGUUCUAAACCCGUAAGACCUCUGUUCAUCUUUAGACACAAAUUAAGAUAUUUUGGAUGUAAUCCGAGAACUUCCUGGUCCUCUAUAGACUGUAUAAUCAUCAGUUUAAUCAGUUUAUUGUCAACUAAAAAAAAAAUUAGUCUGGGAGAGCCCAAUGUAUGCAAUCACUUUCAGUGCUGUUGAAUUAUAUUUGUCCAUAAUUUUGUGCUUGUACAGUUUGGAACAUUUGCAGUUUUAUCCAUAUUUUGUUUAAGUUUACUUUGUUCUCAGUUAAUUUAUUAUUGUCUGUCACAGCUUUAAUUCAGAAGGGUCCCUCAGAAGGGGUACCUACACAGACUGCAACUACAAGAAAGAGCAGUACUUCUGAAUCUUCAAAUUUUUCAACUUCCGAGUCCUCUGAUUCUGAGCCCCCAAAACACAAAAAAAGAAAGGUUAAGGAGAAACACAGAGCGAAAAGACAUAAGAAAUCAAAGAAAUUGACUUCUGACUAUUCCAAAAGAGGUAUGUCAUUUUAAUAAUGAUACUUUAUACAAUUUUUCCUUUGCUUAGGAUAAGUAAUUUCAUAGUCACCCAUCUUAUAAAAGUUUGUUUAUUUUAUUUUUUCAGUGCAUACCCCAGAAGAAUCGCUGAAGAGGUACUACAAGGUAUUAAACCUUGUAAAACAGGGCCUGAGUAAGGCAGAGGCCUACAACAGACUAAACGUUGACAGGAACACAAUAGUCAUCCAGGCUCCAAUUGCAGAGUUAGCAGCAGCUAAUCCAGAAUCAUUCCGCAAGCUAAGGCAGAUGUUUAAAAAGGGAGAUAGCAUCCUGAAAUUUGCCGAAAGCUGUCUUUGUCUUUGUAAAGAAAAGGCCAAUGAGGAUGUGAUUAAACAAAUGAAAGAGGCAAAUGACCUGCUUGACAUAAAUAAAAAAUGAACGAUAAGCACACAUUAUAGUUGUUAGGGGGUUGUUCUUGUGUUAGGAAUUUGUUUAAAUCAUUUAAUCCUGACAAUGUUAUAAUGUUCAUAUAUAAAUUUUUAUUAUAAAACGUGUGUUUGCACAUUUUUAUGCAUAUGUUACAUGGGUUCACUGCAAAUUGAACAACAGUGUUUAUGUAGGCAUUUGUUUUAGGUUAAUAGUAAAUUUUAUAAGGGCAUUGAUAUUUGGAAAUGUUUAUUUUCAGGUUUUAUUUUAAUUUAUUUGAUUUUUAUUUGUUGUGCUUUACUCUUGUGCUACUUUUACAGUGCUUGUUUUUUCUUUAAUAAAUCUAGUACUUAUAUAAUGGUUGAUUUGUACUUCUGUUUAACAUUUUAACUCAUCUUUAGUAGUUGUACUAGGCUAAAUAAGAUUCCAAACUUUAGUCUUUAAUACUUAAGGGGAAACUUCUUUAUAAUCUGUAACAUCAAACUCAUUAACUAGUCAUUAACUAACGUGAGUUCAUGAUUUGUUGAGGCAUCUUUAUGUCAUGACUUUACUUGAAGGGGCACAUGAUGGUUAACUCAUUAUUAACUAGUCAUUAACUAGCAUGAGUUCAUGAUUUGUUGAGGCAUCUUUAUGUCAUGACUUUACUUGAAGGGGCACAUGAUGGUUAACUCAUUAUUAACUAGUCAUUAACUAGCAUGAGUUCAUGAUUUGUUGAGGCAUCUUUAUGUCAUGACUUUACUUGAAGGGGCACAUGAUGGUUAACUCAUUAUUAACUAGUCAUUAACUAGCAUGAGUUCAUGAUUCGUUGAGGCAUCUCAACAU